GGUGGGUGGGUAGCUUUGUUUUGUAAGGAGGGCAUAGUUACAUCGGUGGACAGGAGUUGGUUUCCUAUUGCGGGUUUGGGAGAACGAGACGAGGACAAAAUGGACGUCUUUGAGAAGCUUGAAAGUACUGCCUUGAAGUUGAGAAACAUGGCACUGAGCAGCUGCCAGUCUCCUGUCCUUACCAGCAGCAAGGAAGAAGAAACACUCACACAUUUGCUCAG